UCCCUGGUAGUCCAGCGGUAAGGGCUUUGUGCUUCCACCACAGUAGGCACAGGUUUGAUCCCUGACUGGGGAA
rnacentral:tRNA from 1 species